UACGUAGGGGGCAAGCGUUGUCCGGAUUUAUUGGGCGUAAAGAGCGUGUAGGCGGCUAGGUAGGUCCGUUGUGAAAACUCGAGGCUCAACCUCGAGCUGUCGAUGGAAACCAUCUGGCUAGAGUCCGGAAGGGGAGAGUGGAAUUCCUGGUGUAGCGGUGAAAUGCGCAGAUAUCAGGAAGAACACCCGUGGCGAAGGCGGCUCUCUGGUACGUGACUGACGCUGAGACGCGAAAGCGUGGGGAGCGAACAGG
rnacentral:rRNA from 1 species